ensembl:lncRNA
AUCAGAGAAGACACAAUCUCCCAGCAUCCACCUGUAUUUGCAUCAUGUAGCUGUGGUGCCACCUAACUGUUUAAUUACAUUAACAUGUAAACUAGUGAUAAAUUCCAGUAAAUUAAAAUAUAUUGAGCUUUGAUACCUCCUAUUAAGAAAAGAAAAUGUCAUCCACCACACGAUAUAAGCCUUUACAAGUAAAGGUGAAGGAUAGUGUUGUACUAGAAAUAGCAUGUGUGCUUGCCACCCGCUGUCCGCUAGGUGGCAGCACCUUUAUUUCACGCUGCCACAUGACUGAACUCCAGUGAUGAAAGCCUGAUCCACCACAGAACAGCAUCAGAAAGCUGAUGCAGCUCAGUUAACGUCUCCGAGGAGUGUGUCAGGCCAGACUUUAAAUGUCAGCAGCAGAGAGGAAUCUAUGGGCCAAGUUUCCACCGAGUGCUCUGCAGAAGGAGACGUGUGGGUGGCGUCACGUGACGUCACCGUGUCAGCGACGUGCAGCUGUGCUCUACUCACCCUCCUUGAAUUGGUUUGACUGCCCUGUUCAGGCCCCAGGCAGCUUUUAUGCAGGUGGAAAAUGGAGGUUGGACCUAACUGGACAGAGCCCGGUGGAGAGGAGCAGGACGGGGGGAUGGGGACAACGCGCCUGCUGGAGCUGAUGCUGCUGAGCCUUGGAGGAAGUAGGUCAAAGCUGACCUUGGUGGCAGCCGAGCUGCAACUCGAGGGCAGAAACCCAAAUAACCCAGCCAUGAAAAUAAAAAUCAAUGCAGGAAGUGGAUCUGUUGCCAGAAGGUAGUUCUCCAAGGUCAACGGCCCCGGCAGACGGACUAUCACAUUCAGCCUCUCCACCCAGUCACACAGAUGCAGACCAACAGCAGACAAUAGGGAAUGUGCCCACAACACCAUGCUGCCCACCUCAGACGGGCACUGAGCCUGUCUCUCAACAGAAGUGAACGAGUGCCAGUCACGCUGCGGCGAGCCGAGCAGACUGGACACGUUGGCUGCAGAGUGGGUGCCGCUCCAUCAGGCCCCCGUCUGCGUGGUGGAGGAAACCCUGAGUCCAGCUGUCUGGUUCCUCAGAUCCUCCGCGCAGAAGGUCAGAGUGGAAGCCUGGAACGCGCUGAUUGGACUCGUGCUGCACCGGAGGGUGUUUUUCCUCAGAUCCUCUCCAAGGAAAACGUGUGAUCUAGUGCUAAUCGGACACUUCAUAGCAUUGUUGUUUGUGCAAUGUAAAGGAAUGGACAGCACACGCUGAAGUUAAAGGCCCGAUUCCUGCGAUGUCGUGCAGAAGGAGAACGCCCGGCUCUUCUCCGGGAGCUCAGUCCCUUAAUUAUCCUGCAAAGGUCACGACAGGCAGCCCUCAGCGCGUUUAUCCAUCAGGCGAUGAUCCGCCACGAGCCACGGCAGACAGUCCUGCAGAGGGCGCUGUGCUGGCCACAUAUGCAGUUGCUCAGUAGGAAUUUACUGUAGAUUCAAGAAAAGGUUGUGAUUUUUGUUCAGUAAAAGUAUGUUUUGAGUGACUGAAAAUAGUUUUGCCUACUUAACCUAAGUAUUUAAUAAACUACAUUCUCAUUGCA